AAGAUAUUACACACACACAUACACACACACAAAAAUAAAAAACAUGUAUUCAGCCAACACCAUAACUCCCUUCUUGGUCUGUUGACUCAAAGGCAUGAGGAGCCCAAGUGGCCAGGUAGCAGUCUUAACUUCCAGUUUAAUGCAAUUAUUGUGAUACCUCCUGAUGGAAGCACUCCUUCUGGAGCUAAGACCUCUUGGCCAGCAGAACGUAAAAUUGUGGGAACAGGAAGCAAAAAAAUUGCUAGUAGGUCACUGUGGUAAUGAUGAGUGGUGCCACUCUCAUUUCCAUUCGUUGGUUCCUGAUUCAUGAAUCCCAGCUAUGAGAGAAAGAUAUUGUACACUGACUUAGAUAAUAUACAACUUUCUGGAGAACUCUGCCCCAGUCCUGCAAAGUAUUGUCACCUAGCUGGCACUAUCACUAUUCCUUCAAAUGGAUAUUCCACUGUCCUAUCAAUCCAGCUGCUUCAGGAUGGUGAGGAACAUGAUAAGAACAGUGAAUUCCAUGAGCCUAGGGCUUUUGCCAUGCUUGUUUGUCUGUGAAGUGAGUUUCUUGGUCAAAGCAAUACUUUGUGGAAUACCAUGAUGAUAGAUAAGGCAUUCUAUAAGUAAACAGAUGGUAAUUUUGGCAGAAGCAUUGCAUGUAGGGAAGACAAUCUGUAUUGAGAGUAUCUAUUCCAGUAAGGACAAAAUGCUACCCCUUCCUUGAAAGAAGUGAACUAAUGUAAUCAGCUUGUGACCAGGUAGCUGGCUAAUCAGCCUGGGGAAUAGUGCCAUGUUGGGCCUCAGUGUUGGUCUCUGCUUCUGGCAGAUUGGGCACUCAGUGGUGGCUGUAGCCAGGUGGGCCUCAGUAAACAGAAGUUUAUAUUGCUUAUCCCAUACAUAAUUGUUAUCCCUGCAACCAUGGCCACUUUGUUUAUGAGAAUGAGUGGCUGGGAAGGAGGAUGACUGGUAGGCCAGAGAUCAGGUCAUUAUAUCCAUUUGAUUAUUAAAAAUACUCCUCUGCUGAAGUUACCCCUGAUAAGCAUUUACAUAGAACACAAACAUCUUGACCAUUCAGAAUGUUUAUUGACCAUUCAGAAUGGCUUCUUGACCAUUCAGAAUGAUCCAUCUGUACACCUCUUUUUAAAUUUCUUUGUCAUCAAUUUUCCAAUAAUAUUUCUUAGUCCUUGACCAUCGAGCAAAACCAUUGAGUACAGCCCCUAAAUUGCAGAUAUCCAAUUUUGGGUAUUACUUGCCGAACCAUCUGUAAGCCAGGCUGACGUUUUCACUUCCUCUGUCAACUAAUCAUAGGUAACUAUACAUGAAGCUGAGAGUGCAGAGUGGGAGAGAGAAGGCAGUGUAGCAGGAGUCGGGACCAUGUACAUUCAGGCUAUUUAUUCAUACAAAUUACUUGUGUGUUCAGAGUUUGCUAAGGGCCUGAUAACCUAUAUAUUACUUCUAUUUAAUGACGGAGUGCUGCUGUGGUUGCCCAUAUGGCUUGAUGGGCCAGAUAACACCUUGUUCAUGAUAGGCAGCUCAGGUCACAUUGUAACUUGGUGGCCAAUGAUCAAGUGUGCAUUUUCUAACACUUAGCAGCAGGCCUGUAAUUCAACCAUAGGGACCUGCCAAAGGCUCCAAAUAGCAUCCCUACAUGCCCCUGAUAAAUCAAGUAUCACUGGACAUACUGGAUCAUAAGGCACAAUGAUCUGCUGGCAGAGCAGCUUGCACAGAAGCCUAGACUUGUUGCAGAGCCUUCUCUUGCUCUGGGACCCACUUAAGACUAGCAGCUUUUUGGAUCACUCAUUAACCUCGCUAGAGCAACACAACCAAAUGGGAACUAUGACAGAAAUAAAGUCAAAUGACAAAUGAAAAACUAGGGGAAAUAUCUGCAAUUAACAUCACAGAUAAGGGGUAAUUGCUUAAAUGGAAAUCUCUUCGGUCUUGUUUAGUAAAAGAUAAGUAACACUGUAGAAAAAUGGGCAAAAGACAUGAACAUAGACAAAAGAAUCCCUAGGGGUGUAAAAAAGUCCAACUUUAUUUAUUGUAAGAGAAAUACUUAUUGAAAUUACACUUAUCAAGGAAAUGGGGAAUCAGAUGGUCUCAUAUAUUGCUCAUGGGAACAUAAAAUUAUAUAACUGUAUGGAAGUCAGUUCAGCAAUAUCUAUCAACACUAUAAUACCAUGUGUCUUUGACCCAGCAUUCUCAUUUCUGGGAAUGUAUUCAACAGAUGCAUCUGUAUUUAUAAAAGAAGAAAUAUUUACAAGGUCAUUAAUUCGAGCAUGAUGUGUAAUAGCACAAUCUUGGAAACAAUCCAAGAGUGCAUUAAUAGUGGCUGCUUAAAUAAAUUAUGAUACAUGCAUCAAAACUGCAAUAAAAAUUAAGCAGCUCUCUGUAUAUUAAUUUGGAAGGAUCUCCCAAAUAUAUUGUUAAAUGGAAAACUUCAGGCAUUAAAGAUAUAUGUUGAAUCAUAAGAUAUUGUGGAUAUGAUGCCAGCUUUACGGCUGCUCAGACUUUGGCCUACAUCUGCUGCAAAACCCUUUUUUUCCUCUAGGACCCAUACAAAACCCAAAAGUCUUUUGUACUACUUGAUAAAUAGGUCAAAGCAAUAUUCACCAGUGUGAAAUUGUGCAAUUGCUCCCAAAACCCUAGGAGACUUCCCACAUGUUUUACUAUUUUCUUAGUGGUAAGAGGUACAAGAAAUAAUACUUGUCCUUUACUUUGGAGAGAAUAUCUCAAUAGGACAUUCCUUACAACUGGGCUUCUGUACCUCUAAAAACUUCACUGAUAUGUCAGGCCCUUGAAUCUUUGUAGAAUUUCUAUAAAGAUUGAAACUUCUACCUUCUAAAGUUAAUGUAACAAAUGGAAGCAAGGCUUCCAACAUAGUUGACACUUUUUUGGAUUAUUCUGUAGGAUGAUACAUACAUCAAAACUACAAGUAAGCUACUGUCAUCCACUAUGAUCCCUCUACUUUAUGCAGGCACCAAACUGAUAAAUUGUUUGGGGAUGUGAUGGAGACUACUACCUCUGCAACCUUUAAGUCUGUAGGGGUGGUACAAACCUCCGUCAUUCCUCCAGGGAUGUAAAAGUCAUUUUUAAUUUUGUUGUCUAUCUUAGGCUGAAGACACAGAAUUCAAGGGCUUCUACUUGUAUUUUCCUGCUACUAUUGAUCUUACUCUUUAGGUGAAGAAAGCACUAUAUGGUUUGUGCCACUUGCUUGGUGUAUUCAUUCCUAUUGUAUGUUUUAGAACUGGGGAAAUGACCACAGGGUAUGUCUGUGAACCCAUCUGAGCCACUGGGAAGUCAAUAAUCACUUUAACUGCUGAAUCUUACUUACUCCUAUUCCAACACAUGGGCCACGAUUUACUGCAGUUCUCAGUACAUUAAAAUCAGCCUUUGAUUCAACAGUCCUAAAAAGCUUUGGGUAUGCUUUUCCCCUAAGUAAAUGGCCAUAGGUCUCUGAGGAGAAUAGGAAUUUACUACUCUAUUUAAUUGACCAAGUAUUACAGGAUCCUUCUUCAUGGGGACCCAGGCUCUUCAGUCAAAAAGGGGUUAUUGUGCAGUUCUUAAGGGAGGCGGCAGCAAAAGUAAGAAAUACUGGUUGGCUUCCCCAAAUGCUCCUUUAAGCAGUGUGAAGAUGAGGGAGAGGAGGAGAAUAUGAGAAAUGGAAUUCCUGCCAAAAUCUAAGUUGUCAGGACCAAAAAACAGAGGGGAAAGGUGACUUUCCAAUUUUAAUUUUUAAAAUAAGUAAUAUCCUUAGGAGAAUGUAGAAAAGAGGAGUUCAAGAAGAAUGGGACUUCCAUCUAGAGAAGAAUUUUUCUGGCCUUAGCAAAGGAGAGACGUGAGAAGUGAUAAAAAUAUUUCAGAAACAAAAUGAAUACUACGACUCCAAUGUUGGCAGGAAAUUAGUGAGAAAGCCGUUGGACUUCAAGAGGUCUGGAGGCUGGGAAUGAGGAGCAUUUCAGUGGCUAACUGCAUGGAUCUUUGGGAACCAAAUAAAACAAUGACCGUUUCAGAGACUGUUGCAUGGCUGGUAACCCAAGGCUAUCUUUCAUCAAAUGUCUUUAGUACACUCUCAAGAACUUAGACCUAAUGCCCAUGGAAAUUGUAGGAGAAAGGAGGCCAAAAUUGCCUGAAAUUAAGUAUUGUUCUCUUGGUUUUUAAAAGGGAAAUUAGAUUAAUUGUGGUUAGAAGUAAAAUUUAAAUUCCCUAGAGAGUAGCUUAAUUCUUAACAUACAGGAAAAAUUGCCAGAGGAAUCUUUACACAUAGAUACUCAGAGGAUCAUCUAUCAAUCAGUUGUACUUCUUGGGACUUCUAGUGUGAUGCACAAGGUGGAUCUCUUAGAAUUGACAGAUAUUUUGCCUCUUUCUCUGUGUAAAUUAGGGCUGGAAUGGGAGGAGCAGCCAAGAGAUUUCAUCAGCCACAGUGUGCAUGAUGGAUGAGAACACGGGACACAUACCAGUGAAGGGCAGAAAAUGUUACUUAUCGACACUGGACUAAAAAAAGACUGUGCGUAACCCAUAGAUAAGCCAACUCUUAUUGUGAUAAAACAUCAGACAAAUCCAAAUUGAGAACAUUCUACAAAAUACCUGACCAGCACUCCUGAAAACUACCAAGCCUCUCAAUCCAUGGAUGUUCUUUUACUUGGUCAUCCUCACCCCAUGGUUCAAGGGUAUAUGACUUAUUAAGAGUGAAAAUGAGAAGAGGAGGUGGAGCAAGAUGGUCAAAUAGAACCAUUCACUGAUCAUCCUCCCUGCAGGAACACCAAAUUGAAAAACUAUCUACAUAAUAAAGCACCUUCAUAAGAAGCAAAAAUCAGGCAACAGAAUCAUAUGGAAGUGUGUGCAAGGUAUUUGUCAAAGCCUUGAAGACAGGGGCCCUAACCAGUACAUGGAGGAACUAUACUGCUGGGAAUACUCUGAUAAGAGUUGGACAGAGUCUCUGCCUUCAUUUAGUGUGUACACUUUAUAAAUAAACUUUUUAAAAAGAUGACUACUGAAUGGAGUCCAUUUAUUUAAAAAUGAACCAGACACAGCCCUGGACAGAAACUUCCUGAUGAGAUACAUGAAAAUUCUGAAAUACAAAACAUAAUGAAUUGUAAACAUCUUUCUAUCCACGAAAGAUGGUCAUGAAUAUUUUCAGAGUUCCCCCAUGGAGAAGACUGCAAAAGCUGUUUUGAUACUUGACUUUCCUUGCCUGCUUUAUCACAUUUGAGAAACUACAAAUGGAGUCAAAUAAUCUCAUUUGGAGUCGGCUGAGUAAAUCCAGUAAUCCUCUAAUAAUAGCGACCUCAGGAUUAAUUUAAAAUAUAGACAAAUAACUCACCUAAAAAUAUCACCUCUGACUGAAUAAUAUCAAUCAGGAGUAUUUUACAAUAUAGACAACUCACCUAAAAAUAUCACGUUUGACUGAAUAUACCUUUGAUUUUUCAAUGUAGUAUCCUGAAGAUAUAUUUGGUGUAACAGCUCUUCAACAAAUAUUUAUAGUGUCAGGCAGUGUUCUAGGAGUUGUGACACAGUUGAGAACAAAAUAAACAAGUCUCUGCUUUCAUAAUGUAUACAAACGGUAAUAAGCAUUAAGAAAGAGAAGAAAAAGGAGGCAGGAAAUAGGCAUAGAGUGAGAUUAUAGUGAUAUUUUAUAUAAGGCAGUAAAGGUGGACCUUUUUGAUUUGAGAUACCUAUUUGUGCACAGACAAAUGAGGAAGCAGAAGCUGUGUGGCUAUCUAGGAGAAGAGAGUUUUCAGGCAGAAAGAAUGGGAAGUACAAAGGAUGAGGAACAUUAAGGAGACAGUGGGGCUGGAGUAGAGAGAGUGGUGGCAGAAAUUAGGAUCAGAGAGAUAAGACAUUGGAUUGUACUUUUUAAGGUAAAAAUUUACAUUUAAUAAAAUGCACAUAUCUUAAAGUACACAAGUAAAAUGUAGAAUAUUUCCAUCACCCUACAAAAUUCUCCUGUGACCCCUUCCAAUUAAUCUAAUUGCCCCACAGGUGACCACUGUUCUGUUUUUUUUUUUAAUCACCAUAGAUUCAUUUUAUCUAUUUUGAACUCCAUAUGAAUGGAAUCAUA
rnacentral:lncRNA from 1 species